rnacentral:SRP_RNA from 1 species
CGUACUAGACGGGGAGUUAGCGGUGCCCUGCACCUGCAAUCCGCUAUAGCAGGGUUGAAUUCCUCGCCUAGGUAUUAAUUUGUAUGGUCUGGCCUAUGUAAGUGGCGUUGAUAACUGGGUCCCACGCAAUAAAGACUCAUGAACCUCGUCAGGUCUGGAAGGAAGCAGCGAUAAGUGAGCCCCUUUAUGUGCCGUGGAUUAACCUGGUUUGAGUUAACUACAUAGGUAACGCAUAUAAAUUAAUAUCGAAGCGAGGUGUACG